AAUUGAAUGUGAAGAUCUUGGAUUUCGUGGAAUGCACUAUCAGGCUUUAUAUCCCAGAAAGGAGAUUUAAUAACUACCAAAUGUUCUUGGAAAAAAGCUCCGAAGAGCUGAAAAAGAUCUAGCUUUAUAUCCCAGAAAGGAGAUUUAAUAACUACCAAAUGUUCUUGGAAAAAAGCUCCGAAGAGCUGAA